UACAGAGGGUGCUAGCGUUGUUCGGAAUCAUUGGGCGUAAAGGGCGUGUAGGCGGUUUGUUAAGUCAUGUGUGAAAGCCCCCGGCUCAACCGGGGAACGACGCAUGAAACUGGCAAGCUAGAGUACCGAAGAGGGGGGUGGAAUUCCCGGUGUAGCGGUGAAAUGCGUAGAUAUCUGGAGGAACACCGGUGGCGAAGGCGGCGUUCUGGACUGCAACUGACACUGAAAAACGAAAGCCAGGGGAGCAAACGGG
rnacentral:rRNA from 1 species